rnacentral:rRNA from 1 species
GACGAACGCUGGCGGCGUGCUUAACACAUGCAAGUCGAACGGAAAGGCCCUGCUCUUGUGGGGUGCUCGAGUGGCGAACGGGUGAGUAACACGUGAGUAACCUGCCCUUGACUUUGGGAUAACUUCAGGAAACUGGGGCUCAUACCGGAUAGGAGAUCCUGCUGCACGGGGGGGGUUGGAAAGUUUCGGCGGUUGGGGCUCGACUCGCGGGUUAUCAGCUUGUUGGGGUGGUAGUCGCUUACCAAGGCUUAGAGGGGUAGGCGGCCUGAGAGGGUGACCGGCCACAAUGGGACUGAGAUACGGCGCAGACUCCAACGGGACGCAGCAGUGGGGAAUCUUGCACAACGGGCGGAAGCCAGAUGCAGCAACGCCGCGUGCGUGAUACCGGCCUUCGGGUUGUAAACCGCUUUCGCCUGUGACGAAGCGUGAGUGACGGUAAUGGGUAAAGAAGCACCGGCUAACUACGUG